rnacentral:rRNA from 1 species
GACGAACGCUGGCGGCGUGCUUAACACAUGCAAGUCGAACGGAAAGGCCCUGCUUUUGUGGGGUGCUCGAGUGGCGAACGGGUGAGUAACACGUGAGUAACCUGCCCUUGACUUUGGGAUAACUUCAGGAAACUGGGGCUAAUACCGGAUAGGAGCUCCUGCUGCAUGGUGGGGGUUGGAAAGUUUCGGCGGUUGGGGAUGGACUCGCGGCUUAUCAGCUUGUUGGUGGGGUAGUGGCUUACCAAGGCUUUGACGGGUAGCCGGCCUGAGAGGGUGACCGGGCACAUUGGGACUGAGAUACGGCCCAGACUCCUGCGGGAGGCAGCAGUGGGGAAUAUUGCACAAUGGGCGGAAGCCUGAUGCAGCAACGCCGCGUGCGGGAUGACGGCCUUCGGGUUGUAAACCGCUUUCGCCUGUGACGAAGCGUGAGUGACGGUAAUGGGUAAAGAAGCACCGGCUAACUACGUG